rnacentral:rRNA from 1 species
GACGAACCGUGCGAACGUUGUUCGGAAUCACUGGGCUUAAAGGGCGCGUAGGCGGACUGUCAAGUCAGGGGUGAAAUCCUGCGGCUCAACCGUAGAAGUGCCUUUGAUACUGAUGGUCUCGAGGGAGAUAGGGGCGUGCGGAACUUCCGGUGGAGCGGUGAAAUGCGUAGAUAUCGGAAGGAACACCGGUGGCGAAAGCGGCGCGCUGGACCUCUUCUGACGCUGAGGCGCGAAAGCCAGGGGAGCAAACGGG